rnacentral:rRNA from 1 species
AGUGAACGCUGGCGGUAGGCCUAACACAUGCAAGUCGAACGGCAGCACAGUAAGAGCUUGCUCUUACGGGUGGCGAGUGGCGGACGGGUGAGGAAUACAUCGGAAUCUACUUUUUCGUGGGGGAUCACGUAGGGAAACUUACGCUAAUACCGCAUACGACCUACGGGUGAAAGCAGGUGAUCUUCGGACCUUGCGCGAUUGAAUGAGCCGCUGUCGGAUUAGCUAGUUGGCGGGGUAAGGGCCCACCAAGGCUUCGAUGCGUAGCUGGGCUGAGAGGAUGAGCAGCCAGACUGGAACAGAGAGACGGUGAAGACGCCUACGGGAGGCAGCAGGGGGGAAGAGUGGAAAAUGGGCGAAAGCAUGAUCGAGUGAUACAGCGUGGGUGAAGAAGGCGUGCGGGUUGUAAAGCUCUUUUGUUGGGAAAGAAAAGCAGAAGGCUAAGAUCUCGCUGUGUUGACGGUACCGAAAGAAGAAGCACCGGCUAACUUCGUG